rnacentral:rRNA from 1 species
UACGGGGAGGCAGCAGUGGGGAAUAUUGCACAAUGGGCGCAAGCCUGAUGCAGCCAUGCCGCGUGUAUGAAGAAGGCCUUCGGGUUGUAAAGUACUUUCAGUCGUGAGGAAGGUGUUAAGGUUAAUAACCUUAGCAAUUGACGUUAGCGACAGAAGAAGCACCGGCUAACUCCGUGCCAGCAGCCGCGGUAAUACGGAGGGUGCGAGCGUUAAUCGGAAUUACUGGGCGUAAAGGGCACGCAGGCGGUUAAUUAAGUUGGAUGUGAAAUCCCCGGGCUUAACCUGGGAAUGGCAUUCAAGACUGGUUAGCUAGAGUCUUGUAGAGGGGGUAGAAUUCCAUGUGUAGCGGUGAAAUGCGUAGAGAUGUGGAGGAAUACCGGUGGCGAAGGCGGCCCCUGGACAAAGACUGACGCUCAUGUGCGAAAGCGUGGGGAGCAAAC